UAAAUGGAACCUGAGACUCUGGUUUUACGCAGGCGUUAUUCUCUGCCAAGAAGACGAAGACAUGGGAGGAUAAACAAAACUGGAUUGCUAGCAGGAAGACAGGCGGACUUAGAGUGCCAAGCUUGACCCUUUGUUCCUAGGUCCAGAUCAAAAACCGCUGCCUUGAGCGCGGGGACCAAUCUGGCUGUUUUCAUGGAGACGGCGGGAGCGGCUGGUUGCACAGGAUUCCCGGCGCCUCUGUUGCGUCAUUUCCCACCGCCAGCCCUUGGCUUCGUCGCCCCAGCCCGCGCUAGUUGGGAGGGUGAGUGUUUAGUGGGAACCUGAAUAGUGUGUUUCGGAGUAUUGGCUGACAGUACGCUUUGCCCUUUCGGAAAAGCUUUUUAUGGAAAUGCCCCACUGUCAGUUGUGAGGCUGCGGCACCACAACGCUCCGGACAGAGUCGUGGGAGUGUCUGGAUGGACAGGCCUGGCCUCCAGGUGAAGUCUCGAGUCCUAUCGCCAAUGCUGGGGUUUGUUCCAGGUUUUCUGGAUAGAGGCCUCAGCUUGGAACUUCAGAGGUUGAAAGUACAGCUCAAAUGCCUGAGAUGGAGGAUUCUUCCUUCCCUCAAAAUGGAGCCCAAAGGAGAGAGGCUGGCUACCAUGCAUCUAACUGCAGGACACCAGGUAAAUAUGAGUUUAUUCCCAUCAGAAAUGCCAUUCCAGGGGCUUCCCUGGUGGCGCAGUUGUUGAGAGUCCGCCUACCAAUGCAGGGGACGCGGAUUCGUGCCCCGGUCCGGGAAGAUCCCACAUGCCGCGGAGCGCUGGGCCCGUGAGCCAUGGCCGCUGAGCCUGCGCGUCCGGAGCCGUGCUCCGCAACUGGAGUGGCCACAACAGUGAGAGGCCCGCGUACCACAAAAAAAAAAAGAAAUGCCAUUCCAGUGUUCAGAGCAUUAACACAUUUUAUCCCCUCACCUUAAAAUUUAUGUUCUCGUAUAUAUACUUCUGAAAUCAAAUCUAAAGUUAUUUGACUUAUUGUAGUAAAUGGUAGGUUCUGUAGAAAAAGCUCCCUCUCAACAGUACCAUUCUCUAGUAAUCAUCUCUUCAAGUCAUUGGUUUAUUUAUCCAUCCAUUAAACAUUUUGUGUUAGGUUCCUGUUGCUGUAUAACAAAUUACCACACAUUUGGCAGCUGAAAACAACACCCAUUUAUUAUCUCACAUUUUUGUAGGUCAGAAGUCAGAGCAGGGCUCAACUGGGUUCUCUGUUCAGGGUUUAAUACAGGCUGAAAUCAGGAUAUUAGCUGGAACCACAAUCUCAUCUGAGGCUUGAGAUCCUCUUCUAAGCUCAUUUAGUUUGUUAGCAGAAUUCAGUUCCUUAUGUGUAGGACCCAUUUUCUUGUUAGCUGUUGGCUGGUCAUUGUUCUCAGCAACUAGAGGCUGUCCUUUGGUCCUAGCCACAUGGCCCUAUCACAGUGAGGCAGCUUGCUUCUUCACAGCCAGAAGGAGAAUCUAUCCAGUCUGCUACCAUAGAGUCUUAUAUAAUGUAACUUAAUCAAGGAAAUGACUACCCCACCAUAGUCACAGGAGCUAUGCACACUCAAAGGGAGGAGAUUAUACAGAGUUAAUACCACAGGAGUGGGAAUCUUGGAGCUAUCUUAGAAUUCUGCUCAAUGGAAUAUAUGCAGAAGUGUCAGGUGGCAGCUUCUGGGAAACUUUCUGAAAAAAUGGCUGAUCUUUGCCCUUCUUUAUCCCUUCUGUUCUCCUUAUAAUCUUGGAGUAUGAGGUCAAGUUUAUACAUGAGGGACAAACAAGAUAGAAGAGGCUGGGUCCCUGACACUUUGGAAUGCCAUGAUUGCUCUCACCACCUACCUAGACUCUUGUGUGGUCCAUGGUUAUAAAACCCCACUGUGUGCAAAACAUUGUCACCUUGAGAUUGUAGAGAGCAGAUUGGGAGAAUGUAGAUGGCUGUGAUGAGGAGAGACUGCCAGCCAUGAAAUUAGUCAGGAGACUCACAUAAUUUAGGCACAAAGACCUAGAUUUUAAGCUCAGAUGCCUUCCCACAGUUAUUAUACAUAUGCAUGUUUCAAAUGGGCUAGGGAUUGGGGGAAAGAGAGCCUCCUUACCAAAUGAAAAGAAACCCUGAAAAUUUCUAAACUAAUUAGCCAACUGUCUUCAGGCUUGAAACUUAGGUGGUCCUACAGAGCAGGAACAGUUGCAACAUAUCUCACUGUGCUCACCACAUUCCCCAAAAUCCCCCAACAAAAGCCAGGUACCUGAAGGUGACAUUGUUUUGCACAUGGUGUACCACAUAAUUUUAUACUAGGGGCAUUUGUCACUAUUCAGGAAGCCUGCUACUUUCAUUUAAAGAAAUGUUUACUCAGAUUGGACUUUCCUGAUUCUGGUAUUGAAAACACCAGCAGGAGGUGAUAUUCUCACUCGACUGUAAAAAGUGAAAUAAGUGCCCAAACAUCUCUGAGUAAUUGCUUUGCCUCCAGCUUUCCAGUAUUCUCUCCCCCACCCCACUACCCCCAACCCCAGUCAUUUCCCUGAAAAUGGCAUGACCAUUUUCCUUUUUUCUGGUCCAUCUGUCUAACUUCUGAUGAUGCUUCCCACUGGAUCACCUCCCUUCCU
ensembl:lncRNA